AUUGAACGCUGGCGGCAGGCUUAACACAUGCAAGUCGAGCGAGCGGCGGACGGGUGAGUAAUGUCUGGGAAACUGCCUGAUGGAGGGGGAUAACUACUGGAAACGGUAGCUAAUACCGCAUACCAUCAGAUGUGCCCAGAUGGGAUUAGCUAGUAGGAGGGGUAAUGGCUCACCGGGGCGACGAUCCCUAGCUGUGCGGAGAGGAUGACCAGCAUAACUGGAACUUAGACAAGGUCCAGACGCCUACGUGAGGCAGCAGUGGGGAAUAUUGCACAAGGGGCGCAAGCCUGAUGCAGCCAUGCGGCGUGGGUGAAGAAGGCCGUCGGGUUGUAAAGCACUUUCAGCGAGGAGGCGUUACUCGCAGAAGAAGCACCGGCUAACUCCGUGCCAGCAGCCGCGGUAAUAC
rnacentral:rRNA from 1 species